GCAAUGGAGGAGACUCAGGCAGGACAAACCUCUCAAAUUACAUAGACGGUGAGGAUUGAGGACACACACCUCUUUGUCAAUGGAAGGAAUGAAGGAACCCACACAAGACAAGGUUAGCAAUUUGUCCUACUAUUUUGGCAAAUGUUAUGAGAACAUGGAAAAGUAGGCUAUGUGUGAAUCAGCUGUUUGGUGCUGGACGAACUGACCAGCUUUCCGCCCUCAGAAAGCACGAGUUCUGUACAAAAAGAUAAAGACAGAGAAAACAGCACUUUGACCUUCACAGAGACGGGUGCCUGUGGCGUUGUGGUUGGACACACUCACGGAGUGGACUCUGUUCGCCGAAAGAAAGGUCACAGAAAUGUCAUGCAGUCAUGUCCUUGUAAGUUUGAUCAGACUUGAUAAAAGAAAAACCAGCUGCUUGGUUUCUUCCUGAUGUUUUCAACAUCCAUAAUAAUACCACACUAAGCAUUUGAUCUACAGGUGCAUCUCAAUAAAUUAGAAUGUCGUGGAAAAAAUGAACUUUUCCA
rnacentral:lncRNA from 1 species